UUGUCUUUUGCACAGAUGUGACAUUAGAAAACAUAUGUCUCGAAUUAAAAACAAAUACAAAUUAGUGAUUUUAUUGUGUGUUCCUUUACUUACUUUAUAUUUUAUUUUACACUUUUCACACUGCUUUUGCAUUGUUGUCUAAUUUUUGUAAAAUAAUUAUUAACAUGGUGUAAUAUGCCAUGUGCUGCUGUUCAUCUGAGAUUGUAUUUAGCUAAUUCUAUGACUAUAUUCUUGCUAAUAAAUAUGAUUAUUUUCAUCAGGUCUUGAUCUUUAAACCCUUCUUCAAGGUGUACUUUUCACCAUGCCGGUCAAUAGAUACUAAGAAAUUUUACAAAAGGAGUUUUUCACUUUUUCAUCUGUCUUAAAAAAAAGGAGCAUUGGACCAAAUAAGAUUUGACAAUAUUUGUGCUCAGGAGUGUGGGUUGUAGGGGAAGUUGGCGAUAAAUAGCAUAUUGCUGCAGGCCUGUUCAACUAAAACAAACAAACCAAAAAAUAAAUAAAUAAAUAAAUAAAAAAUCAAAACCUGCUCUUUGCAGAAUCCUUUGGAAGAACUCAAUUGCCAGAAGCAUGACAGCAAAAAGGGAAAGGAAAACAGAGGGAUGCAUGAAUGGAUGCAUGCAUGCAUGGAUGGAAGGAUGGAUGAAGCUGCAAUAAAACUUGGAGAUAAACUUCAGAUUGCUGCAGGGCUGUUCAAUUCACUGAUCCUGAAAACCAGAAAAACAAUCUGUUUUUAUCCCCCAGCCAUGCCAAUAGUCCUGUGCGUCUACCUUUCUUUCCUCUUGUUUGACUCGUCCAUCACUACCGCGCAUCCCUCCGACCCCAACCUCUCAAAAUCAAUUUUUCUUGAUCCAUCUGUCUUUAUCACUUCCUUCUCUCACUCUGUGUCUUCUUUCUUUUUCCCAUCUUUCUAGAUUUAUUUUUCUUCCAACUGAUUAUCUCUCUCUCUCUCUCUCUCUCUCUCAUUCUGGUCCUUUGGGAAAUCAAAGAACUUGAAUAAGUUUCACAUCACCACGGGAACAAAAAACUCAUAUGGUCGUCAUGGGAACACACACUCAUCCUGUCACCGCAGGAACCGUUUCAUUCAGUAGCCAGGGGAAACGUGACGAUUUCAUGUUCUUAGUCCCUUUGAUUGGCCUGCCAAGAGGAAAUGCCAAUUAAAUAUAGCUGUAAGCCAUACAAAACUCGCUGAAGUUCAGAAACUUCUGAGAAAGAGAACAGAGUAGAAAAGAUGAAGGUUACAGCUGGAUUUAAAAAAAAAGACUCACUCAUCAAUCAACAGACCUGUGGAUAGUGGGGAA
ensembl:lncRNA